rnacentral:lncRNA from 1 species
AGUCGCAGCCAUACAUUAUCUGGAGGGUGUUAGACCCUGGCCCCGCCCCCGCUGUCAGCCCCGCCCACCGAGCCCCGCCCCCGCCCCGACCAACCCGCGGGGAUUUUGGCCUAAACUGAAAAUGAAACCUGGUAAAGGCGCCUGGGCCUCUCCCGGGUCGAGGAUCUGGCGGGUCCCGCAGCCUCGGGGUGGGUCUCGGAGCCGGAGACUCGCGGGGGGGACCCGGGACGUCCGUGGGGGAUGAGGAGGGGUCGUGACCUUCGCCCCAGGCCGGGGUCAUUCACCGGCCUAGCUCUGGUGGUAGUAGCGGCGCGGCAUGGGCAGGUUCACUCUUGUCAGUCUGUGCGCGGGCCUGAUGUUCCGUGUGCUCCGGUCCCAAUACUCCGGUCCCUCCUGCUCCAACCACGGCGCCUGCGGCUACAUCCUCGGAGUCGCCGCGUCGCUGUCGAACCGCACGAACUGCGUGUCGUCCACGUAGCCCACUGCGAUGUACCGGGGCUCCCCGCGACCCGGCCGGGACACGGCGGUGCUGAACUACCUUAUGGAGUGGGAACCUGGGGGCGAGGAGGGGCUGAGACCCAUCCGACCCUCCUCCUUGCGCUGCUCCCCGGGUCCUGCGCCCCAGUGCGCGGGCCCCUAGCUCCUCCCCGCAGAGGCCAUUUCCCUCCGGAUCCCGCACUCACCCGCCCAGGUCUCGGUCAGGGCCAGGGCCCCCAAGAGCAGCAGGAGGAGGGUUCGGGACGCCAUAACCCCAUCCUCGGCGUAUGGGGAGAAUCUGAGUCCCAGUGGGUUCGCGGGGACUUCUGGAACAGGGACCCCAGCGACGCCGAUUGGCUUCGCUAGAAACCCGACACCAAAUGGGGGUGAGAACUGAGUCCACAUCCUGAGUGUCCAGGAAGAAGGACCCUACAUAAGUUGGGAGAGGGAGAAGAGAAACUGCGGAGAUGGGGAAUCCCCAACCCUGGGCCUCCCCAAUCAAUACAUCGCCUUCGGGGCCUGAAACCCUGAGAGCCACGCCUGGGGCCAUAGGACUUCGCCCUGACCCCGCUCCUCCUGUGCCAAGCGCUCUGUCUCAAUGUCUCCCUGAGUCUUGGCCCAAGAGCUGUCUGAGAAACCAGGGAGAAACCCUCGUCAUGGGCCCCUUCCCUCUUCACUUUUCAUCCCGGAAUCCCCGUCCCAGAACUGGACUCCCUGCCUCCCACUCCUUACCUAUUUCCCUGAACUCUUCUAGAAAAAAACUCACCCCAGGGAGCUUGGUGACAGAGAGGGAGCUCGCCGCCAGAGAGGCAGCUCGCCCUGGGAAUGGAGGCGUAGAGACAGGUUUUUUUUUUUCUUUAAAUCCGGAAAAGUUGUGCCUGAGUACAUGAGAUAGAAUAGAGACAAGUUUCCUCUUUGUUUAUUAACUACAGUGGGUAGCAGAAUCUUGGCAACCCCUAAAUGAUCAGGAAUCUAAUCGGUAAAAAAUGUAACUUUGGCCCCUUGAUAUAUAAAUGUGUCUGAAAGCAUUACAACAGGACUCACAAAGCUACUAAGUUUGACUUUCGCAGACAAUGUAUCUGUGACUCCCGCUUGUUUUUUACAUUUACCUUCAUUCCACAGCCCUGAGUUACUGGGUGAGUCCAAGACAUCUCCUCAAUAUAAAGUAGCACACUGUGUUACUAUAUGUUGCAACCGGGAGCCAGUACAGACUUUAUUCACCUCACAGUUGCAAAUGUUCAAUGCAGUCACAAUGCCCCUCAGCAGUGCUCAUGCGCUGCCUGUUUUUAGGAAGUAUUCACGUCUAAGUGGUGUGAAUAUCUUAUAGGAACACUUAGUAUUUUUAAAACCUGAUUAAUUAAAAAAAAUUAGUUUCUAGGCAGUCCCAAAUAUAGUAUUAAAGGCCAACUGCAAAGAAGGAACACUAAGUAUUUUUUAAACCUUAUUAACAUAAAAAACAUUAGUUUUUAGGCAGUCCUACAUUAGGUAUUAAAGGCCAACUGCAAAGAACACUGAGCGAGGCUCUGUAGAUGGAUGUAAUAAAAAUCUAUAAAACAAUGUGUUUAAACCUAAGAAUUCUACUGCUUUCCAAUUCCUUCCCUCUGCUCCUUUUCCUAACCUCCUGCUUCUCCAGCCCUUCCCUCUGUCCCUUUCAUCCCUCAGGCCCUCCUCUCCCCUUAGUCCCCACCACCCUGUCACUUCUAAAUUGUGGCUCUAGCAUUGUCCCAUUACCUGCUACGUGACUGUUCUCUCCACAGUGGCCCUGCUCCUGUGAGUCAGAGUGUGUCAUUUCCUCACCUAAAACACUCCAGUGGCUCCACCUCGGUCUUGUGAAGCUUCUAGAAUGUCAGGCACAUGAGCAUAUGAGGGCAUACCUGGUUCAUCUUAGGCACUAAAUUAAUUUUUGUUGACUGAAUGAAUGAAAUAUGAAGGUAUUAAAUUGCAUCACAGAAAGUUAUAAAAUGUAAAACACUGAAAAAUUAAGAAAUAUUUUAUUUUAUGUAACUAGUGUGCAUAUCAAUUCAUUCCGAGUCUGUUGAGCCUGUGUAUGAAUUUUAUAAGAUUGCAUAACAAAUUAUCACAAACAUUGACUUUAAACAACACCC